CUAUUCUCUGUAACUUCGUGUAUGUAUAAAAUACUAAAUUGUGAAGAUUCAAACAGAACGAUCACAGUUCACCCAGCCACCCCUGGCCGUACACCAGUAGGGAUGACCAGAGGUUUUGCUACAUGUCCGACUGAAGGAAUGGCUGCCUCCCAUGUGGAAAGCAGCUCUUGGUUUAGAACAAAAUCUCACCGAGUCCAGCUCGAGCCUCAGCGAUUUUCACCGAGAUGCUUGGGGUAAAGGUUGCAUUUUCCCCCUCCAGGGAGGGGGAAGUCCAGAUACUUAGGAGCCAUUCUGUUCACUUUCCUAUCUUUCUCUUAGGAGUGGUGGUAGAAAUGUAAGACUGUGCAGACUUUCCGCUUUGGUCUUUUGUCAAUUCAGAGUCAUCCUGUUGUCCCUCACAGCUGUCAACAUUAAGACUGCAGAGAUUUACAGAGCAUCCUUUCAAGAUCGGGGUCCGGAGGAGCAGCUUCGUGCUGCGCGAACUUUAGCAGGAGGACCAAUGAUUAGCAUUUAUGAUGCAGAGACAGAACAACUUCGUAUAGGACCGUACUCCUGGACACCAUUUCCACAUGUGGAUUU
rnacentral:lncRNA from 1 species